GUGCCCGUAGCUCAGCUGGAUAGAGCGUCUGUUUGCGGUACAGAAGGUCGUAGGUUCAAAUCCUGUCGGGCACACCA
rnacentral:tRNA from 1 species